rnacentral:rRNA from 1 species
UGGCAACGGGGUGAGUAAUACAUCGGAACGUGUCCGCUCGUGGGGGACAACCAGCCGAAAGGUUGGCUAAUACCGCAUGAGUUCUACGGAAGAAAGAGGGGGACCCGCAAGGGCCUCUCGCGAGCGGAGCGGCCGAUGACUGAUUAGCCGGUUGGUGAGGUAACGGCUCACCAAAGCAACGAUCAGUAGCUGGUCUGAGAGGACGACCAGCCACACUGGGACUGAGACACGGCCCAGACUCCUACGGAAGGCAGCAG